rnacentral:rRNA from 1 species
AGGAUAAACGCUGGCGGCGUGCCUAACACAUGCAAGUCGAACGUCCUACGCAAGUAGGGAGUGGCGGACGGGUGAGUAACACGUGGGCAAUCUACCUUUCGGUGAGGAAUACCGGCGAGAAAUCGCCGACAAUACCGCAUACGCUUCGCAAGAAGCAAAGUCGCAAGACGCCGGAGGAGGAGCCUGCGCCCGAUUAGCUGGUUGGUGGAGUAAUGGUCUACCAAGGCGACGAUCGGUAGCUGGUCUGAGAGGAUGAUCAGCCACACUGGGACUGAGACACGGCCCAGACUCCUACGGGAGGCAGCAGUGGGGAAUAUUAGACAAUGGGCGCAAGCCUGAUCCAGCAAUGCCGCGUGGGUGAAGAAGGUCUUCGGAUUGUAAAGCCCUUUCGACGGGGACGAUGAUGACGGUACCCGUAGAAGAAGCCCCGGCUAACUUCGUGCCAGCAGCCGC